rfam:Aedes albopictus isolate Foshan contig89937, whole genome shotgun sequence.
UAGCCUAGUUGUUAAGGCUAUGGAUCGCCAAUCCGGAGACGGCGGGUUCGAUUCCCGU